rnacentral:lncRNA from 1 species
CUUCCUUUUAUGGUCAUAAACCUUGUGUUUAAAUUUCAUAGAUUUCUAUUAACUUAUACUAAAGUUAUGGUGCAAAAACCAAAAAUAAUGCUUAUUUGGGCCCCUUUUUGGCCCCUAAUUCAUAAACUGUUGUGACCUCAACUCCAAAAAUCAAUCCCAACCUUCCUUUUGUGGUCAUAAACCUUGUGUUAAAAUUUCAUUCAUUUCUAUUUACUUAUACUAAAGUUAUUGUGCGAAAACCAAGAAUAAUACUUAUUUGGGCUCUUUUUUGGCCCUUAAUUCCUAAACUGUUGGAACCAAAACUCCCAAAAUCAAUCCCAACCUUCCUUUUGUGGUCAUAAACCUUGUGUCAAAAUUUCAUAGAUUUC